rnacentral:rRNA from 1 species
CCUACGGGAGGCUGCAGUGGGGAAUAUUGGACAAUGGGCGAAAGCCUGAUCCAGCCAUGCCGCGUGUGUGAAGAAGGCCUUCGGGUUGUAAAGCACUUUCAGUGGGGAAGAAAGCCUUGGGGCUAAUACCCUCGAGGAAGGACAUCACCCACAGAAGAAGCACCGGCUAACUCCGUGCCAGCAGCCGCGGUAAUACGGAGGGUGCGAGCGUUAAUCGGAAUUACUGGGCGUAAAGCGCGCGUAGGCGGUCUGAUAAGCCGGUUGUGAAAGCCCCGGGCUCAACCUGGGAACGGCAUCCGGAACUGUCAGGCUUGAGUGCAGGAGAGGAAGGUAGAAUUCCCGGUGUAGCGGUGAAAUGCGUAGAGAUCGGGAGGAAUACCAGUGGCGAAGGCGGCCUUCUGGACUGACACUGACGCUGAGGUGCGAAAGCGUGGGUAGCAAACAGGAUUAGAUACCCUUGUAGUC